UUGUAAAAAAUUACAAAUUUUUUAAAAUCUCUCCAUAAAUUAAUAAUUAUUAAUUUAUCGAUAAAUUAAUACCUCUCUAAAUUAAUAAAUUUU
rnacentral:sRNA from 1 species